AUAAGCGCUUUGGCUGCGUUUAAAAGGUGUCUCAGUAUCGAGCGCUUAUAUUGGGAAAUCGACAUUGAUGAAAUGUGCAGCAAGACUAGUUCUGCUGUCCACUCGGUCACAUCCCCCAAAAUAUCCCAUAUGGUAGACCUAACCAUGUCCCAAAAACAGGAGAUUUUGCUACAGUCCCACCAUAUAUGCAUCAUGGUGCCCU